rnacentral:rRNA from 1 species
AGCGAACGCUGGCGGCAGGCCUAACACAUGCAAGUCGAACGGACCCUUCGGGGUUAGUGGCGGACGGGUGAGUAACACGUGGGAACGUGCCCUUUGGUUCGGAAUAGCUCCUGGAAACGGGUGGUAAUGCCGAAUGUGCCCUUCGGGGGAAAGAUUUAUCGCCAUUGGAGCGGCCCGCGUCUGAUUAGCUAGUUGGUGAGGUAAAGGCUCACCAAGGCUACGAUCAGUAGCUGGUCUGAGAGGAUGAUCAGCCACAUUGGGACUGAGACACGGCCCAAACUCCUACGGGAGGCAGCAGUGGGGAAUCUUGCGCAAUGGGCGAAAGCCUGACGCAGCCAUGCCGCGUGAAUGAUGAAGGUCUUAGGAUUGUAAAAUUCUUUCACCGGGGACGAUAAUGACGGUACCCGGAGGAGAAGCCCCGGCUAACUUCGUGCCAGCAGCCGCCGUAAAAC